UUCCAGACUUUUCUAUCAGGCUUAUAACGGACAGCCCGGGGUCCUGAAACAGCCAUUUGAACUUGUUUACCUUUUGAACACAGAAAGAGAGAGAGAAAGUGAUGCAAAAAAUAAUAAAGCGGAUCGGACCCAAAUAUGUUUCCAUUGCCAGAACGUGGGUUCCGACGCUGCUCGGAUGGGGUACAGUUGGUGGCCUGGCUGUUGUAUAUUUCACAGACUGGCGGCUGAUCAUGGAUUAUGUUCCCUACAUCAGAGGCAAAUUCAAGAAGGACGACUAGUUGACCAGAUCUCUGGAAAUCUGCUGCUGUGCAUUUUAGCCGGGAACAAACAGUUGAUGCUUUGACCAACCAGUAGGCGGCGCUGCUGAUGUGACAUUCAGCCAUAAAGAUCGAAGAUCUGCCACAGUGUUAUAUUUGUGUUGAAAAUAUCUUAUAAUGUUGUUUGUGUGUAAAUCAGUCUUGCUUACAAGCUGUUGUCUGUACAGGGAGUCUGAAAUGGUUUAGUUUUAUGCGUGGCACAUCCAUAUUGCGUUACUUUUGUGAAUAAAUGGUGAUAUUUCUCUA